GUGGUUUGCAAUCAAAUCCAACCCGAUGAUUCAGAUACAUGUGGCCUGUAUUGCAUUUAUUACGUCAAAUUGAGAUGUCGGGACUCGAGAUGAAGGACAUUAUCAACAACUUUUCAUCCACUGACACGAUUCAGAAUGACAGUAAACUCGUAGCUCUAUUUGGUUAAAUGAAAAAUAAUGAUACAAAAAAAAAUAAUGAAAAAAGAAAGAAAAAAAACAGAAGAAAAGAAAAAAAAAUCUUAAAACACCUACAUGGAUGUAUAGCAGGUCUCAAGUCUUGAAAAACUCUUUCUAGGGUCACUAAAAGUAUCCACCCUGGAGGGUAGCCUGGUCAAACAUUAAGAUAUAGCGUCCAGGAUUUAAGCCCAAAUAUGGCGUCGGCGUCUCGAUGUCCGAGUAACAUGGUCCAACCCG
rnacentral:lncRNA from 1 species